UGCUUUCCUUGGUUGUUUGCCUGAC
rnacentral:piRNA from 1 species